CUGGGAUGUGAUGGGGAGCGAAAUUUAGUAGCGAAGUAGCUGAUUUCACACUGUCAAGAAAAGUCUCUAUCGAGGUUAAAGGUACCCGUACCGCAAACCGACACAGGGGGGUGAGGAGAGUAUCCUAAGGCCAGCGAGAGAACUGUUGUUAAGGAACUCGGCAAAAUGACCCCGGAACUUAGGGAUAAGGGGUGCCACCAUCAGGUGGCCGCAGAGAAUAGGCCCAAGCGACUGUUUACCAAAA
rnacentral:rRNA from 1 species